UGCAGCCUGUCGCGAACAUCUGGCCACACGGGGAGAAGCAACAGGCCACGACGCUGGCCUCGCUCACCGCGCUGCAUCUGAGACACACAUCACACAGUUGGCUGCCACUUUGCAGGGAGAGCAGAGCAGCAGGGGCUGAUCGGGGAACAUUAAUCCGGACUUCAGAACAUGAGGAUCGGAUUUAAAGCCUUGGAGCCGAAGUCCCAGAGGGCCACGGUGCCGUCGCAGGCCCCGGCCAGCAGCAGCGAGGAGUCCGGAGCCAGCGCGCAUGCGCGCACCGGGCUGCGCGACGGGUGCCGCAGCACCGCCGCCGCCUCGCCGGAGCGCGGCCGCCACGCGACGACGGAGCCGUCCGUGGAGCAGCUGAGCAGGUAGCGGCCGCAGGCGCUGAAGCAGCAGCAGUGCACGCCGUAGUCGUGGCCCGCGAGGGGGGAACACGGGAGCUCCGCGAAGUCCGCCGCGUCGUACACGCGCAGGGUUUUGUCGCCGGAGCAGGUGGCGAGCAGGGUCGGCGAGAAGGCGCAGCCGCUGACCUCGUCCGCGUGGCCGCGGAGGGUGCGGAGGAGCGAGGCCAUGUUCCGCAAAAGCAGCGCUGGACUCGCGAGGUGGCGCAAAACGCUCAGACGGGCGAGCGAAGUGGGGUCGAAUCCCAAACAGCUGGCGAGAGAAGAACUGAGGGACCUAAAGCACUUCCGCCUCGUGCCCACGCUGUUAUCAGUCACGUGUGUUUAUUAUCAACACCAUGUUCAAAGGUUAAACCACUAGAAUACGUCGUCAUAUACCUUUUAAUUUUAAUCUGCACCACACAGUUACCACUGCUUCCACCACAUUCACCUUAAAACGACUUGAGCUGCGUUCAGAUUCCUCCAGGUCCAAACCGUGUCCGGUCCCAGCUGGACGCCAGCUCCACGGGGCGCCUGGCUCGGUUUGACGCAAAUGCUUGGAGGCGGAACGCACCGGGUGAAUUCUGUUUGGAACUUUAUUCCCAGGUUUCCUAUACACUCCUCCCUCCACCGUUUAUUAAAGGCCACGCACUGCAACACUGAGGGGACCGCAGCGUUCGAGGUCAUAUUAGCACAGGUAAUGUACAGUGUUAGGCAAGAAUGUAUUAUAUGCUACAAUCAUCACUGUGCAACGACAACAGGUUCAACACGACUGUUCCGUGGGUCCACGUCUGUUAGAUAUCAGGCUCUUAAACAGUAAAACACAAGCUAAACAUGUACAGCACCACUUCAGUUUGUCCUCUCACACAUGUACAGUAGGUGAACACUAGUACUGCUGGUAUCCUCUAUUCACGAAGCUGUAAACACUUUGAUUGGCUUGGUCAAUAGUGCCUAAAAUGAUCUUUACAUUUUAUUAAAGCUUCAUCAUCGUUUUUUUUUUUCUAAGAAAA